rfam:Canis lupus familiaris chromosome 11, whole genome shotgun sequence.
GCCUGGGUGGCUCAGUGGUUGAGCGCCUGCCUUUGGCCCAGGACAUGAUCCUGGAGUCCUGGGAUUGAAUCCCACAUCAGGCU